AGCGAGCGCUGGCGGCAGGCCUAACACAUGCAAGUCGAACGAAGUCUUCGGACUUAGUGGCGGACGGGUGAGUAACACGUGGGAACGUGCCUUUAGGUUCGGAAUAACUCAGGGAAACUUGUGCUAAUACCGAAUGUGCCCUUCGGGGGAAAGAUUUAUCGCCUUUAGAGCGGCCCGCGUCUGAUUAGCUAGUUGGUGAGGUAAAGGCUCACCAAGGCUACGAUCAGUAGCUGGUCUGAGAGGAUGACCAGCCACAUUGGGACUGAGACACGGCCCAAACUCCUACGGGCGGCAGCAGUGGGGAAUCUUGCGCAAUGGGCGAAAGCCUGACGCAGCCAUGCCGCGUGGAUGAUGAAGGUCUUAGGAUUGUAAAAUCCUUUCACCGGUGAAGAUAAUGACUGUAGUCGGAGAAGAAGCCCCGGCUAACUUCGUGCCAGCCGCCGCGGUAACAC
rnacentral:rRNA from 1 species